UACGGGGGGGGCAAGCGUUGUUCGGAAUUACUGGGCGUAAAGGGCUCGUAGGUGGCCAACUAAGUCAGACGUGAAAUCCCUCGGCUUAACCGGGGAACUGCAUCUGAUACUGGAUGGCUUGAGAUUGGGAGAGGGAUGCGGAAUUCCAGGUGUAGCGGUGAAAUGCGUAGAUAUCAGGAGGAAUACCUAUGGCGAAAGCAGGUAUCUGGGCCAUCACUGACGCUGAGCUGCGAAAGCUAGGGGAGCAAACAGG
rnacentral:rRNA from 1 species